CUGUGGUUAAGUUAAUAAGGGCACACGGUGGAUGCCUUGGCGUUAGGAGCCGAAGAAGGACGCAGCGAACUGCGAUAAGCCUCGGGGAGUGGUAAGCACACUUUGAUCCGGGGAUUUCCGAAUGGGGGAACCCACCAUCUGUAAUGGGAUGGUAUCCUUCACUGAAUACAUAGGUGAUGAGAGGGCAGACCCGG
rnacentral:rRNA from 1 species